rnacentral:rRNA from 1 species
GCCCGCUCAGAAACUACAAAGGAAAGUUGACGGGGCCCGCGACAAGCGGUGGAGUAUGUGGUUUAAUUCGAUGCAACGCGAAGAACCUUACCUGGUCUUGACAUCCCGGAGACCCUUAGGAACUAGGGGUGCUUCCAUCUGGAAGAAUCUGGAGACAGGUGCUGCAUGGCUGUCGUCAGCUCGUGUCGUGAGAUGUUGGGUUAAGUCCCGCAACGAGCGCAACCCUUGCCUUUAGUUGCCAGCAGUUCGGCUGGGCACUCUAAAGGGACUGCCGGUGUUAAACCGGAGGAAGGUGGGGAUGACGUCAAGUCCUCAUGGCCUUUAUGACCAGGGCUACACACGUACUACAAUGGCCGAUACAAAGGGCAGCGACACUGCGAGGUGAAGCCAAUCCCGUAAAAUCGGUCUCAGUCCGGAUUGGAGUCUGCAACUCGACUCCAUGAAGUUGGAAUCGCUAGUAAUCGUGGAUCAGCAUGCCACGGUGAAUACGUUCCCGGGCCUU